ACGCUAGCGGCAGGCCUAAUACAUGCAAGUCGAACGGUAACAUUGGUGCUUGCACCAGAUGACGAGUGGCGCACGGGUGCGUAACGCGUAUGCAACCUACCUUUUACUAGAGUAUAGCCCAGAGAAAUUUGGAUUAAUCCUCUAUAACAUCUUUUAAUUUCAUGAUUUUAAGAUUAAAGUUUUAACGGUAAAAGAUGGGCAUGCGUCCUAUUAGUUUGUAGGUGAGGUAACGGCUCACCUAGACUACGAUAGGUAGGGGCCCUGAGAGGGGGAUCCCCCACACUGGUACUGAGACACGGACCAGACUCCUACGGGAGGCAGCAGUAAGGAAUAUUGGACAAUGGACGAAAGUCUGAUCCAGCCAUGCCGCGUGCAGGAUGACAGCCCUACGGGUUGUAAACUGCUUUUAUACAGGAAGAAACACUCCGACGUGUCGGAGCUUGACGGUACUGUAAGAAUAAGGAUCGGCUAACUCCGUGCCAGCAGCCGCGGUAAUACGGAGGAUCCAAGCGUUAUCCGGAAUCAUUGGGUUUAAAGGGUCCGCAGGCUGUUUUUUAAGUCAGAGGUGAAAUCCUACAGCUCAACUGUAGAACUGCCUUUGAUACUGGAAAACUUGAGUUAUUGUGAAGUGGUUAGAAUGUGUGGUGUAGCGGUGAAAUGCAUAGAUAUCACACAGAAUACCGAUUGCGAAGGCAGAUCACUAACAAUAUACUGACGCUCAUGGACGAAAGCGUGGGGAGCGAACAGGAUUAGAUACCCUGGUAGUCCACGCCGUAAACGAUGGAUACUAGCUGUUCGUCUAACAUUGGUUAGAUGAGUGGCUAAGCGAAAGUGAUAAGUAUCCCACCU
rnacentral:rRNA from 1 species